CCUACGGGAGGCAGCAGUGAGGAAUAUUGGUCAAUGGCCGGAAGGCUGAACCAGCCAUGCCGCGUGAAGGUCAGUGCCCUAUGGGCGUUAAACUUCUUUUGUGCGGGAGCAAUAAUGGUCACGUGUGGCCAGACGAGAGUACCGUACGAAUAAGCAUCGGCUAACUCCGUGCCAGCAGCCGCGGUAAUACGGGGGAUGCAAGCGUUAUCCGGAUUUAUUGGGUUUAAAGGGUGCGUAGGCUGUGAGGUAAGUCAGCGGUGAAAUGCCCCCGCUCAACGGGGUGAAGUGCCAUUGAUACUGCCUGGCUGGAAUGCGGAUGCCGGGGGAGGAAUGUGUGGUGUAGCGGUGAAAUGCAUAGAUAUCACACAGAACACCGAUUGCGAAGGCAUCUCACGAAUCCGCGAUUGACGCUGAUGCACGAAAGCGUGGGUAUCAAACAGGAUUAGAUACCCCAGUAGUC
rnacentral:rRNA from 1 species